GGACACUGUGGCCAGAAUCGCUCAGUUCUUGCAGAAAUCUCUGGACGCUGAGGUGAUAGAGAAGAUAGCAGACCGAUGUUUGUUCAAGAACAUGAAGAAGAACAACAUGUCAAACUACAAAUCUGUUCCUCGUGAACAGAUGGACCAGACAAAGUUUGAUUUUCUAAGGAAAGGGAUUGUUGGAGACUGGAAAAACCAACUAACAGUGGCAGAAGCAGAAUACUUUGAUGCUGUUUACAAAGACAAAAUGAAAGAUGUCCAAUAUAAAUUUGCAUGGGAGUAAAAAGAAGUGAAUGGAAAUACUUACUGGAAGUCAUUUCACCAUACAAUGAUGCACAGAAACUUGUAAUAAAGAUGCAGUUGUUUCCAAUGUACUUCUAUGUUUAUUGUUUUGUGGUGUGAACAUAAUGAUCUUAUAUCAAUCACAAAUGAAUUUACCAGAAAUG